rnacentral:rRNA from 1 species
AGUGAAUAGAUACCCGGGUAGUCCAGGGUGUAAACGCUGCGGGCUUGGUGUUGGGGGUCCUUAGUGGGCGCCCAGUGCCGGAGAGAAAGUUGUUAAGCCUGCUGCUUGGGGAGUAUGUCCGCAAGGAUGAAACUUAAAGGAAUUGGCGGGGGAGCACCGCAACGGGAGGAGCGUGCGGUUCAAUUGGAUUCAACGCCGGACAACUCACCAGGAGCGACUAUUACAUGAAGGCCAGGCUGAUGACCUUGCCUGAUUUUUAGAGAGGUGGUGCAUGGCCGUCGUCAGUUCGUACCGUAAGGCGUUCUCUUAAGUGAGAUAACGAACGAGACCCUCACCGUUAAUUGCUAACGUUCUCUCCGGAGGGCGUGCACAUUAAUGGGACCGCUGGCGCUAAGUCAGAGGAAGGAGAGGUCAACGGUAGGUCCGUAUGCCCCGAAUCUCCUGGGCUACACGCGCGCUACAAAGGUUGGGACAAUGGGUUCCUACAUCGAAAGGUGACGGCAAUCCCGAAACCCAAUCGUAGUUCGGAUUGAGGGCUGUAACUCGCCCUC